UUCGCAAUGCCCGAAAGGGUGACGAUGCGACGCCGCGUGAGCGAAGAAGGCCCUAGGGUCGUAAAGCUCUGUCGAGGGUUAUGAAAUAUAGAUGGGUUAAUACCCCAUUUAUUUGACAAAAGCCCAAAAGGAAGCCACGGCUAACUCUGUGCCAGCAGCCGCGGUAAUACAGAGGUGGCGAGCGUUGUUCGGUAUUAUUGGGCGUAAAGAGCACGUAGGUGGUUUUGUAAGUCAGGUGUGAAAGCCUUCUGUUCAAAGGAAGAACGGCAUCUGAAACUGCAGAUCUUGAGUGUAGGAGGGGAGAGUGGAACUUCUGGUGGAGCGGUGAAAUGCGUAGAUAUCAGAAGGAACGUCGGCGGCGAAAGCGACUCUCUGGCCUAUUACUGACACUGAGGUGCGAAAGUUAGGGGAGCAAACGGGAUUAGAUACCCCGGUAGUCCUAACCGUAAACGAUGGGCACUAAGUAGAGGGGUUUU
rnacentral:rRNA from 1 species